GACGAACGCUGGCGGCGUGCUUAACACAUGCAAGUCGAACGGUGAAGCGCUUUCCUUUUUGGUUGGUGUGGAUGAGUGGCGAACGGGUGAGUAACACGUGAGUAACCUGCCCCCUUCUUCUGGAUAACCGCAUGAAAGUGUGGCUAAUACGGGAUAUUCUGCGCCUGCUGCAUGGUGGGUGUGGGAAAGAUUGUGCCUUUGGGUGUUUUCGGUGGGGGAUGGGCUCGCGGCCUAUCAGCUUGUUGGUGGGGUGAUGGCCUACCAAGGCGGUGACGGGUAGCCGGCCUGAGAGGGUGGACGGUCACACUGGGACUGAGACACGGCCCAGACUCCUACGGGAGGCAGCAGUGGGGAAUACUGCACAAUGGGCGCAAGCCUGAUGCAGCGACGCCGCGUGAGGGAGGGAGGCCUUCGGGUUGUGAACCUCUUUCGCCAGUGAAGCAGGCCUGCUCCUUGUGGGUGGGUUGACGGUAGCUGGAUAAGAAGCGCCGGCUAACUACGUG
rnacentral:rRNA from 1 species